rnacentral:rRNA from 1 species
UACGUAGGGUGCGAGCGUUGUCCGGAAUUAUUGGGCGUAAAGAGCUCGUAGGCGGUGUGUCGCGUCGGCCGUGAAAACCUGGGGCUCAACUCUGGGCGUGCGGUCGAUACGGGCAUCACUUGAGUUCGGCAGGAGAGACUGGAAUUCCUGGUGUAGCGGUGAAAUGCGCAGAUAUCAGGAGGAACACCGGUGGCGAAGGCGGGUCUCUGGGCCGACACUGACGCUGAGGCGCGAAAGCUAGGGGAGCGAACGGG